AAAUAAUUGAUCAGAGAACUUUUUAAAAAAUAUAUUUCGAAUUUGGCGGACAUUGAUGCUAAUCAAAAAUGUAUACAUUAAUGGGGUUGAGAUGCUUGUUACAUAUAUUUAUACAAGACAAUAAUAUCGUUUACUUGGGUUCAAGGUAUCUAUGCCUAUAUUACGCAACUAUUUGAGCCACCAGUUCAUAAGUGUAACUCUGGGCAUUUUUAAAGGGGAGAGUGGCUUUUGUUGAUGAGAAGAAAAAAAGAACAUAAGAAAAGAGCCAGAGCCAAAUGCUAGCCGAUCGCAUAAAAAAUCAUAAAUCAUAGAAUUUCCUGGAAUUUAAAAUAAAAUAAUAUAAAUGUUUCGUGUAUUAUUUAUUUUUAUAAUGUUAUUGCUGCCCGUAACAUAAAGGAUAUUUAAAGAGUGCCGAUUACCGAGUGUCGUGUAGAAAUGAUCGUUAGUAUCAUACCAACAACUAUCACUGUUAAAUAAAAAUGGCAGUAAUAAAUUAUAAUAACCGUGACUUCUGUAUUAAGCCGACACAUUUAAAAAAGAGUCAAUUAAAGUAAACUAAUACAAAUGUUAUAUUAUGGAAAAAUUCAGGCUGCACUGCAUCCAAUCCCGAAAGUCAAGCGAAGUUUAUUUUAUUCUGUUCAGAUCAUAAAAUAAACUUGCAGUUGAUUGCCAUCGGAGUUAGUCGAGCUAAUGGCCAAGUGGAAUGGACAAUGAGCACUUUGAAAAAUAUGUUAACGGCGGCUGAAACUGGAAAGCAAUCUUGGCAGGAUGUGCUAGGAGCGGUGCAGUUGGCAGUCAAUUGAAUGACUAACUUUGUGACAAGGGCAAGUCCUCUGGUGAAUGGGAAAAUGAAGUUGAUCUGUCAAAUGUAAGAGCAUAAGCCGAGAAGAAAGUUUUAGCUACUGCCGUUUAUGACAAAGAACGAUUUGAUAAAAAUAAGGCAAAAGAACAUAGGCACACAGUUGGAGAUUUUGUAUUACUUAAAAGCGAAGCAUAGCAUCAAACUAAGCUAUGUCCAAAAUUCAAGGGGCCUGAUAAAAUAACACAGGUUUUAGAGGGUGAAUGGCACACUUUAAAGUCCUUAACCAAUAAACGAAAUUACAAAUAUGCACAUGAAGAUUUAAGAAAAUUGCCAGGAGGGUAAGUGCUCGAGGAGCUGAAUAUUUGUGAUGAAUAUAAUAAUAGAGUUGAAAAAGAAAAAAGAAAAAUAAAUUAUUGUCAACGUUGAAAUUACUGAAGCACGUGAAGAACAUCAAUAAGGGUGAAAGAUGUUAAGCUGCUGGCCAAAGGAAAUGGCAGAGUACUUGGACCACGUAAUAUAAUGCAAGCAAAGUGCAAAACAUACAUACAUAAAAAAUACACACAUUCAAUUGAUUUAAGAAAAAACAGAAACUAAACUAAAUGGUUAAGAUCACGUUAAAGUAUGAUUUAAGCUUGGUACUAUUUUGUGAAAUUGUUAAAGAGAUAAGUUUUUCUGAAUUAAAAAACUAAGAUUUGCUUGUGUUGUGCCAACAUUUGUUUGCAAUAAAAAAGAGAAAAAUAAA